UCCUCCGUGGCGCAAUUGGCUAGCGCGUUCGACUGUUAUUUACUAGCAAAUCGAGAGGUUGAAAGUUCGAGCCUUUCCGGGGGAG
rnacentral:tRNA from 1 species